GUGUGUGUGUAUGUAUAUAUAUAUUGUAUUAUCGCUUCACUAUACUGAUCCCAUGAUGUUAUGGCUACUCACCAAAGCUCUGCAAAAUUCAUUGCCUGUCUAAGCAUGAAUGUGCUGUAUUUAUGGACCCUUCCAGAUCAGAGGUUAUGAGGACAUAACCAAGGGCUGAGGGUGGGAUGACUCCACACACACAAACCCAGUUC